rnacentral:rRNA from 1 species
GACGAACGCUGGCGGCGUGCUUAACACAUGCAAGUCGAGCGGUAAGGCCCUUUCGGGGGUACACGAGCGGCGAACGGGUGAGUAACACGUGGGUGACCUGCCCUCAGCUCUGGGAUAAGCCGUGGGAAACCGGGUCUAAUACUGGAUAUGACUCCAUGACGCAUAGUUGGUGGGGUGGAAAGCCUUGUGCGGCUGAGGAUGGGCCCGCGGCCUAUCAGCUUGUUGGUGGGGUGA